CCCUUAGAUAUCCUGGGCCGCACGCGUGCUACACUGACGCUGACAGCGAGUAUUUCCAGCUCCGAGAGGCAGCUGGUAAUCAGCAAUCGGCGUCGUGAUGGGGAUAGACCCUUGGAAUUGUGGGUCUUGAACGAGGAAUGCCUAGUAAGCGCAGGUCAUCAGCCUGCGUUGAUUAAGUCCCUGCCCUUUGUACACACCGCCCGUCGCUCCUACCGAUUUCGAGUGGUCCGGUGAACCUUUGGGACCGCGUAUGGCUUGUCCAGGCGUGGAAACUCAAGUAAACCACAUCACUUAGAGGAAGGAGAANUCGUAACA
rnacentral:rRNA from 1 species